GCAUGUAUUAUUCCACAGCUGUAUAAUCAUUACACUCUAACACUGCAUGUAUUAUUCCACAGCUGUAUAAUCACUACUCUCUAACACUGCAUGUAUUAUUCCACAGCUGUAUAAUCACUACACUCCAGUGUAACACUGCAUGUAUUAAUCCACAGC